GAAAUGCGAUACUUGGUGUGAAUUGCAGAAUUCCGUGAAUCAUCGAAUCUUUGAACGCACAUUGCACUCUGUUUCGGCAGAGUAUGCCUGUUUGAGAAUCUAUAGUAUUCAUUUCAUGUGUUCGGCUAACGCCGGACCUUGAAGAUCUGAGGCUUCCCACUUACACUGGGUGCUUUUAAAACUAUCGUUACUUAUAUUUCACCGGAAAAGUAUGUGUAUGGAGUCUAACGACUUCUCUAAUGCUCGGUACAGUGAAAAGACUGGAUCUUAAAGCGUGCCUGCAAAGUCAUCUCUUUUUGGUCUGGUCUAUUUAGUACUCAACUAUUAAAGUCCAUAGCCUUGCGCUGUGGAUUUGAACCAUGGUCUCAAAUCAGGCAGGAAGACCCGCUGAACUUAA
rnacentral:misc_RNA from 1 species